UGGACUCUACUAUGUAGGUCAAGGCCACAGCAUGCGCUUCACGGGUGCACUGUGGUUAUGUUCUUUAGGAUAGUUUGGCCUGUGCACCAUGGAAGGAGAAAAUGCGGGCACAAAACGUGACUUCAAGUGUUUCAGAAACCAGCAGGCAAAAUCUCAGUGUGAUCAACAUGGUGACUACUUGAACUAGUAGGACUAAGAGCCUGACAGGAAAAACUGGAAAUAAUUUAUGUACUGGAAAACACCGGAAAGUUAAAGUUUGACUUCGGGUCUCGAAAUGUAUGCCUACAGAAACGAAAGAUCGUCAGGCCGUUCAUCAGAAGUACAUGUACAUGUAGGCCUAGGCCUUUAAGAAUGGCUGACGGGGAUGAGGGAGAAGGUAGCAGAGAAUGGAAGAGAAGAAAAUUACAAAAUCAACCUGAAGCAGCUGAAUGCGGUGCAUACACAUCAUUCCAGUCUGGUCAACCAUCAGAGAAUCAACCAACCACACAGGGUGCUAUCUCAAACUCACUGACACCAUGUAGACACCAAACACUGGCUCUAUGCAGACCAUGUACCCAGAACCAGACA